GCGAGGUGAUACUGCACAGUUAGAGUAAGCAGAUAAGAUUUGUUUUUUGUUUUUUUUCUCCAUAAUUUUUUUUUUGGGGAAAGUGUGAAACCACGCCUUAUUCACUGGAACUAACAGACCAUGAGAAGCCCGAAUCCUAGCAAUGGAAAUUUCAGCCCUUUUCAGUGAGUCAGAUCAAUCAGCUCAACUCAUCUAAAAGAGCCGACUCUUUCGGUUCUUCACAGCAUUUCCCUUCCUCAAAGCUGUUCAAACUCGUUGAUCUUACUCAUCUUUCUUAUCUACUGUACUCUACGCUCUGAUCUGACUCGGUCUUGGGUAACCUGCACUGGCUCCUGGCUGAGAAGAAGCCUUGGGCAUCGGGACGAGGUGCUGCCAGGGCUGAGGGGACAGCCACAGGACACAAAUCUCCCCCUUCACAGAACCAGCGGAAGGAAAUCUGGCAUUUGAAGACUGCCCCCUUAUGAACAGACAGGUUAGGGAUGAAGGUGAAGGAGGAAAGGAGCUGUUUGGUGGGGCC